rnacentral:rRNA from 1 species
UGGGGAAUAUUGCACAAUGGGCGCAAGCCUGAUGCAGCCAUGCCGCGUGUAUGAAGAAGGCCUUCGGGUUGUAAAGUACUUUCAGCGGGGAGGAAGGGAGUAAAGUUAAUACCUUUGCUCAUUGACGUUACCCGCAGAAGAAGCACCGGCUAACUCCGUGCCAGCAGCCGCGGUAAUACGGAGGGUGCAAGCGUUAAUCGGAAUUACCGGGCGUAAAGCGCACGCAGGCGGUUUGUUAAGUCAGAUGUGAAAUCCCCGGGCUCAACCUGGGAACUGCAUCUGAUACUGGCAAGCUUGAGUCUCGUAGAGGGGGGUAGAAUUCCAGGUGUAGCGGCGAAAUGCGUAGAGAUCUGGAGGAAUACCGGUGGCGAAGGCGGCCCCCUGGACGAAGACUGACGCUCAGGUGCGAAAGCGUGGGGAGCAAACAGG